rnacentral:rRNA from 1 species
GAUGAACGCUGGCGGCGUGCCUAAUACAUGCAAGUCGAGCGAACUGAUUAGAAGCUUGCUUCUAUGACGUUAGCGGCGGACGGGUGAGUAACACGUGGGCAACCUGCCUGUAAGACUGGGAUAACUUCGGGAAACCGAAGCUAAUACCGGAUAGGAUCUUCUCCUUCAUGGGAGAUGAUUGAAAGAUGGUUUCGGCUAUCACUUACAGAUGGGCCCGCGGUGCAUUAGCUAGUUGGUGAGGUAACGGCGCACCAAGGCAACGAUGCAUAGCCGACCUGAGAGGGUGAUCGGCCAGACUGGGACUGAGGCACGGCCCAGACUCGCACGGGAGGCAGCAGUAGGGAAUCUUCCGCAAUGGACGAAAGUCUGACGGAGCAACGCCGCGUGAGUGAUGAAGGCUUUCGGGUCGUAAAACUCUGUUGUUAGGGAAGAACAAGUACAAGAGUAACUGCUUGUACCUUGACGGUACCUAACCAGAAAGCCACAGCUAACUACGUGCCAGCCGCCGCGGUAAGAC